rnacentral:rRNA from 1 species
AGAGUUUGAUCCUGGCUCAGAAUGAACGUUGGCGGCGUGCCUAACACAUGCAAGUCGAGCGUGAAAGUCCUUCGGGAUGAGUAAAGCGGCGGACGGGUGAGUAACGCGUGAGAAUCUUCCCUUCAAUGAGGAAUACCUUUGAGAAAUCGAAGUUAAUACUGCAUACGUCUCGAAAGAGAGAAAGAUGGCCUAAUUGCUGUCGUUGAAGGAUGAGCUUGCGUUCUAUUAGCUAGUUGGUGAGGUAAAGGCUCACCAAGGCGAUGAUGGAUAGCCGGCCUGAGAGGGUGUACGGCCACAUUGGAACUUAGACACGGUCCAAACUCCUACGGGAGGCAGCAGUGAGGAAUAUUGCACAAUGGGCGAAAGCCUGAUGCAGCGACGCCGCGUGGAGGAUGAAGGUUUUCGGAUUGUAAACUCCUGUUAAGUGGGAAAAAAGUCUCGUUUUUAAUAGAAACGAGAGAUGAUGGUACCACUAAAGAAG